ensembl:lncRNA
CUUUGCAUAUUUAGCGCUUUCACAGUGAAAGUAGAACCAGUGAAGUUCUGCUGCUGCUAAGCAACCAAACAUUACACAAGCAAAGGCAUGAGUUUGUGAACGCUUGCGAGGAUGUAACGUUACUCUGAUAUGUGCUUUUACAAAUGAGGGACUUUGAGGCCAGUGUGGAUGGAGCUCAUUGUUUGAGGGUGCUGUGUUCGCACCCCUGCUGCUGGGACACCGAGCACCGUUGCACCAGAGGAAUCAAACACCACACUCCCGUACGCGUGAGGAAACACUCUCUCAAAAAUGAGGACUUUCCAUCUCUGAGUAUUGUCAAUGUCUCUGAAUGGGCUGGACGGGGGAGACCGGUUAAAGGAAGGCCACUGGAUGGUGCAGACACAGACACAGAGGCGUCGUUGAAUGAUGUUUCUCUCAGCAAACAGACACAAGACACUCAGAAGAUUAAGAGGGCAAAUCUUUCCUUCCCAGACAUCAUGUUGCCCAGCGAUAAACCAAACAAUCUGCUCAAGUUAAAUACAGUUGACAUCAGUCCUUUGAUGGGCCGCUCUGAGUUGCCACAGUGUCCUGUGGUUAUGUGGAUUCCCAACCCGCACCAUGAGCCUCAGUGGCUCCGCCAAAACAAGUCUAAAUCUCCAAACAUCACGAUAAAAGAGUUAGUCUGCCUUCCAUCUUGUCAAAUGGCAAAGCCGUCCAUAGCGGCCAACCAGAGGAAGAAGUGUAACAGUCAUAAAAGGAGAGGGAAGACAGGAAUUAACUCUACACAAGAGGGCGCUGGCAGCCCACGGUGGGUGGGCAUUGGCUUUAAUCCCAUUCCCAAAACCACCCCACAUCACCUCUGCCACAGCCUAGUAUUCAAAGGUGAGCAUACAUGUGUUUUGGGAUAAAGCUAUGCUUUGCCUAACUGACACAUAUUACAUGAAAGAAUUUCUCAGUUACCAACUUAAAGGGAUAGUUAACCCAAAAAUGAUGGAUUGUCCCUCAUGUCGUUCCAAACCUGUGUGACUUUCUCUCUUCUGUGGAACACAAAAGAAGAUAUUUUAAAAACAGUUUUGGUCCCACUGACUAUUUUUGUCCAUAUCAGACAAUGAAAGUCAAUGGGACACGAAACAAUUUGGUUACAGACAUUCUUCAAAAUAUCUUCUUUUGUGUUAAGCAGAAAGUCAUACAGGUUUGGAUGGACAUGAGCGUGAGUAUAACAUUUCAUAUAUAAUAUGAUAUAGCAUAUUAUAUUUCGUGUGUCUAUUUCUUUCUUCCGUUUCUUUCUGUGUCUCCCACUCAUCUGUCCACAGAUAGUGGGUGGGGAUCAUUGGAUCAAAAACUGCCAAGCCUAACCACACCACACCCAAACCCAAAGAGCAGUAGUGUCAGUCCAGCCUGGAGCCUGAGUUUAGGAUCAAUGCAGUGCUGGAGAGGCCACUGAAACACACCUAAACAGAUCUCAUACUUACGCCACAUUAAGAAGACAAAGGGUUUUAAUCGUAAAUGGAAAAUCUGUUCCAUAAGUAGUUAGUCUUGUCCAGUGAUUCAGUGCACUUUGUCUUGAAAGUCUAUUCCUGUUUUAAACAUAGACAACAAAUAAAUAAAAUGUAGCCUGCA